AUUGAACGCUGGCGGCAGGCCUAACACAUGCAAGUCGAGCGGAUGACGGGAGCUUGCUCCUUGAUUCAGCGGCGGACGGGUGAGUAAUGCCUAGGAAUCUGCCUGGUAGUGGGGGACAACGUUUCGAAAGGAACGCUAAUACCGCAUACGUCCUACGGGAGAAAGCAGGGGACCUUCGGGCCUUGCGCUAUCAGAUGAGCCUAGGUCGGAUUAGCUUGUUGGUGAGGUAAUGGCUCACCAAGGCGACGAUCCGUAACUGGUCUGAGAGGAUGAUCAGUCACACUGGAACUGAGACACGGUCCAGACUCGUACGGGAGGCAGCAGUGGGGAAUAUUGGACAAUGGGCGAAAGCCUGAUCCAGCCAUGCCGCGUGUGUGAAGAAGGUCUUCGGAUUGUAAAGCACUUUAAGUUGGGAGGAAGGGUUGUAGACUAAUACUCUGCAAUUUUGACGUUACCGACAGAAUAAGCACCGGCUAACCCUGUGCCAGCAGCCGCCGUAAGAC
rnacentral:rRNA from 1 species